GGUUAAGCGACUAAGCGUACACGGUGGAUGCCCUGGCAGUCAGAGGCGAUGAAGGACGUGCUAAUCUGCGAAAAGCGUCGGUAAGGUGAUAUGAACCGUUAUAGCCGGCGAUGUCCGAAUGGGGAAACCCAGUGUGAUUCGUCACACUAUCGUUAACUGAAUACAUAGGUUAACGAGGCGAACCGGGGGAACUGAAACAUCUAAGUACCCCGAGGAAAAGAAAUCAACCGAGAUUCCCCCAGUAGCGGCGAGCGAACGGGGAGCAGCCCAGAGUCUGAAUCAGCUUGUGUGUUAGUGGAACGGUCUGGAAAGUCCGACGGUACAGGGUGAUAGUCCCGUACACCAAAAUGCACAGGUUGUGAACUCGAAGAGUAGGGCGGGACACGUGGUAUCCUGUCUGAAUAUGGGGGGACCAUCCUCCAAGGCUAAAUACUCCUGACUGACCGAUAGUGAACCAGUACCGUGAGGGAAAGGCGAAAAGAACCCCGGCGAGGGGAGUGAAAAAGAACCUGAAACCGUGUACGUACAAGCAGUGGGAGCACCUUCGGGUGUGACUGCGUACCUUUUGUAUAAUGGGUCAGCGACUUAUAUUCUGUAGCAAGGUUAACCGUAUAGGGGAGCCGCAGGGAAACCGAGUCUUAACUGGGCGUUAAGUUGCAGGGUAUAGACCCGAAACCCGGUGAUCUAGCCAUGGGCAGGUUGAAGGUUGGGUAACACUAACUGGAGGACCGAACCGACUAAUGUUGAAAAAUUAGCGGAUGACUUGUGGCUGGGGGUGAAAGGCCAAUCAAACCGGGAGAUAGCUGGUUCUCCCCGAAAGCUAUUUAGGUAGCGCCUCGUGAAUUCAUCUUCGGGGGUAGAGCACUGUUUCGGCUAGGGGGUCAUCCCGACUUACCAACCCGAUGCAAACUACGAAUACCGAAGAAUGUUAUCACGGGAGACACACGGCGGGUGCUAACGUCCGUCGUGAAGAGGGAAACAACCCAGACCGCCAGCUAAGGUCCCAAAGUCAUGGUUAAGUGGGAAACGAUGUGGGAAGGCACAGACAGCCAGGAUGUUGGCUUAGAAGCAGCCAUCAUUUAAAGAAAGCGUAAUAGCUCACUGGUCGAGUCGGCCUGCGCGGAAGAUGUAACGGGGCUAAACCAUGCACCGAAGCUGCGGCAGCGACACUAUGUGUUGUUGGGUAGGGGAGCGUUCUGUAAGCCUGCGAAGGUGACCUGUGAGGGUUGCUGGAGGUAUCAGAAGUGCGAAUGCUGACAUAAGUAACGAUAAAGCGGGUGAAAAGCCCGCUCGCCGGAAGACCAAGGGUUCCUGUCCAACGUUAAUCGGGGCAGGGUGAGUCGACCCCUAAGGCGAGGCCGAAAGGCGUAGUCGAUGGGAAACAGGUUAAUAUUCCUGUACUUGGUGUUACUGCGAAGGGGGACGGAGAAGGCUAUGUUAGCCGGGCGACGGUUGUCCCGGUUUAAGCAUGUAGGCUGAUUGUCCAGGCAAAUCCGGAUAAUCAAGGCUGAGGUGUGAUGACGAGGCACUACGGUGCUGAAGUAACAAAUGCCCUGCUUCCAGGAAAAGCCUCUAAGCAUCAGGUAACAUCAAAUCGUACCCCAAACCGACACAGGUGGUCAGGUAGAGAAUACCAAGGCGCUUGAGAGAACUCGGGUGAAGGAACUAGGCAAAAUGGUGCCGUAACUUCGGGAGAAGGCACGCUGGUGUGUAGGUGAAGCCCCUGCGGGUGGAGCUGAGACCAGUCGAAGAUACCAGCUGGCUGCAACUGUUUAUUAAAAACACAGCACUGUGCAAACACGAAAGUGGACGUAUACGGUGUGACGCCUGCCCGGUGCCGGAAGGUUAAUUGAUGGGGUUAUCCGUAAGGAGAAGCUCUUGAUCGAAGCCCCGGUAAACGGCGGCCGUAACUAUAACGGUCCUAAGGUAGCGAAAUUCCUUGUCGGGUAAGUUCCGACCUGCACGAAUGGCGUAAUGAUGGCCAGGCUGUCUCCACCCGAGACUCAGUGAAAUUGAACUCGCUGUGAAGAUGCAGUGUACCCGCGGCAAGACGGAAAGACCCCGUGAACCUUUACUAUAGCUUGACACUGAACAUUGAGCCUUGAUGUGUAGGAUAGGUGGGAGGCUUUGAAGCGUGGACGCCAGUCUGCGUGGAGCCAACCUUGAAAUACCACCCUUUAAUGUUUGAUGUUCUAACGUUGGCCCCUGACCGGGGUUGCGGACAGUGUCUGGUGGGUAGUUUGACUGGGGCGGUCUCCUCCCAAAGCGUAACGGAGGAGCACGAAGGUUAGCUAAUCCUGGUCGGACAUCAGGAGGUUAGUGCAAUGGCAUAAGCUAGCUUGACUGCGAGCGUGACGGCGCGAGCAGGUGCGAAAGCAGGUCAUAGUGAUCCGGUGGUUCUGAAUGGAAGGGCCAUCGCUCAACGGAUAAAAGGUACUCCGGGGAUAACAGGCUGAUACCGCCCAAGAGUUCAUAUCGACGGCGGUGUUUGGCACCUCGAUGUCGGCUCAUCACAUCCUGGGGCUGAAGUAGGUCCCAAGGGUAUGGCUGUUCGCCAUUUAAAGUGGUACGCGAGCUGGGUUUAGAACGUCGUGAGACAGUUCGGUCCCUAUCUGCCGUGGGCGCUGGAGAAUUGAGGGGGGCUGCUCCUAGUACGAGAGGACCGGAGUGGACGCAUCACUGGUGUUCGGGUUGUCAUGCCAAUGGCACUGCCCGGUAGCUAAAUGCGGAAGAGAUAAGUGCUGAAAGCAUCUAAGCACGAAACUUGCCCCGAGAUGAGUUCUCCCUGAGACUUUAAGUCUCCUGAAGGAACGUUGAAGACGACGACGUUGAUAGGCCGGGUGUGUAAGCGCAGCGAUGCGUUGAGCUAACCGGUACUAAUGAACCGUGAGGCUUAACCUU
rnacentral:rRNA from 1 species